AAGAUCAUCUCGCGUAAACUUGUCCUUUUGUGAACUGCUUGUGUGGCCGGAACCGAUCGACACGCAAUCCAAUGUUCUCCCUCUCCUUCGGAGUGCACAGCUUCCAAAAUUCACACCUCGCUCCGUCUUUAAUUUAGUUUCUUCUCCCUGUUCUCUCAAUCAGGAGCGUGUUUCUCUUUUGAAAUCGAGAGUGGGACGCGAUGGGAAGCGUAAAGGCCGGCGCCGACCGUUACUUCUCGCUCGCGAAAAAUAAAUCAAGUCGAGAACCGGGAACUUUACGCGAGAAGAAGAUUCGAGCCGGGAGAUCGCGAGCGACGAUUCCGUCAGGUGACGGGAAAUAAUGAGGAAAUGAAGAAGGCAAGAGAUAUGACGAAAAAUAGGCAGAGGAGACAAGUCGAUUGCACCGUAGACACUCUCCGUCGAACGCGUCUUCUUCCGUAUUCUCGAGCAGAAAGUAUUUCACGCUCGACGGUGCCAGACUGCGAAAAAUGUCGGGAACGCGCGAGUCACGCGUGGAAUUGACCUUUUACUUUAAAGUACCGUCUGCGACGAUCAUCUCGCUUCAUUCGUAAGGCCAGAAAACGUUGCCGAAUCCGCGAGAAGUACGCAUAGCGGUCGAGUAAUUUAAUAUAUUCACAGAGUCAUCAUUUCCGAGCAAAGUUUCGCGCGGAAAGAUAUACAUCCUGGUGGAAGGUUUAAUUAAUAAUCUUGAUCUACUUGCACACAAUGCUGAUAUAAGCCUGGCAAAGGAAAAGGUAUACGGGGUGUCCCAAAGUAGAUAUUAAUUUUGAAAGAGAAAUUUCAUUGAUAAAUUUUGAAAGCGAUAUUUUUUCCGAAUAAAAAUAUCAAGAUUAAGAUUAAUAUGUUUUUCUAAUUAUUCGACUAUCGAUUUUCGCAAGGCUUCAACAGCAAGCUUAAUGACGAAGCUAUUUGUCGUAAAGAAAAAACUAACGUAAAGUAAAAACAAUAACGCUCGGUCUAAAGAAAUAUAGAUUUCUUAAUUCCUGGCAGUUUCGAGACACUCUAUGCAGCCGAGUUUACGAGAUGGCGAUUAUGCGAAAACGCAUACGCCGUUCAUAUGAAUGAAUCGACGUUAGGUCGGACGAUACGCUUUGCCGGCUGCGAUUAUAUAAGAUUUGCCGGCUGCAAAUGGAUGGGAUUUAAAUCUAGACGGACGACGCAAUACCGCCGGCGUUCAUGAACACCCUUCAGCGGGUAAUCCGGCCGACAAUAGACGCCGGAAUGAGGAGGAAGAUGCCGGCGGGAGGCGGAAGUAUAAGGAAAUACGUAGUCGCAUACCUCGACGAGCAAUAACUUAUCUUCUAUCCGCUUCUUACCUUUUCCUCCUCGUUUCCGCAAUCGCAUAAAGCGCGCCCGAGUCGGAGGAGGAACUUGUCGAGUACAAGGCGCGGUUCCGUUCCGCGGAGAUACCGGCAAUUUCACCUGAUAUUCCGCGGCUCUCUGUGAGAAGCUAAGAAGAGACAAGAAGGGCGCAGCACACCACGUAACGACCGUUUGUCGUCCGUCAAUUUUCCUAAAGCGUUUCUCUCUAACGUCUCUCGAAAGUCUCGGUUGACUUAUGCGCUGCUCGAUCAACAUGAAUUUUACAACAUCGUCGAAAGUCGGCCUUUUCAACCUUCUCACUUCAAGUUUAAAUGCAUUAUUGUUAUUUUUGCUAUUAAUCGUGCUCAACCACUGUGGCUUUGUAUAUCGCAUAGUAAAAAAAAAAACAUGUCAUGUUGUUAUAUGAAGGAGUACGCGAACUCGGAGUAUGUUGUAUCGAAUUACGACAACAUAGUCUCGUCAAUAAGUUUCAGAAUAUUAGGGGCUUUAACGGAGGCUUUAAAUCUGCUCGAAUUAAGCAGAAACUGCGACGGAUUUGUCGUUAAGCGCUUUACCAAAUCGGUUAGGACUUUAAAAUUCCGUAAUUAUCCUGUGGUUAUCAAUAUUUUACAAAUUGAGAAUGAUCAAAAUAUACAAUAAAAUACAACAAUGCGACAAUUGAGAAAUUAUAAAACUCGGAGGUUUAAACUUCAGAAAAUGGAAAAUUAAUUAGAAAUAAAAUCACUGUACCAGUCAGUAGACAAAUAAGACAUUAAAUUAUUUAUCAAUCGAAUAAAAAACACUUUCAAGUAAAAAUGAUUAAUCAGUUCCGCAUUAAAACUUUCAUACAAAUUUAAUUAAAACAUCAUUUUUAUUUUAUUUUUUCUUAAUUAUCAUUUUUAAUAUCAAUUUUUAAAUAAAUUGUAAAUUAAUUUAUAUAUUUUUUACAUUUAAUAGUUAGUAAUUUAUUAUUUUGAUAUUUUUCUCUUAAAAAGUCGUUCACUGGUGACUGUUCCGCGACUGGUACAGUAAUUCUACUUGGAGAAUAGCACAGUGUCGCGUGGUCGACAAUUCUUGCACUUAAUACAAAAUAAACAAGCCGCUUACUAAUGGGAUUCUGUAAUUUACAUUCCGCGAAUUACGCAUAAUGCACCGUCUCCGUUUUCUCGCGUUGAUCCUCACCACGGUGCGAAGAGGCGGUCGCUUUUGGUUUUAAAAAUCAUUACUUUAAGACGAGGUAACUGCAUUAGUAGCAUCGUAAAUUCACGUCAGUGUAACCGAACGAGAAACGCUAUUAAUCUCUACUAUACCAGUGAUGCAGCCUUUUUCCUCGUCGGCACGCUCCUCCGUUCCGAAGGAAAUUUGUACUAUAAAUCAUAAAAAAUAAAGAACGCGUAGUUAGCGAUCGGUUUUCGUAAAGGAUAAGAUACAAGAGUAAUACGCGAGACUAAAGUACAGGAAAAUGCAUUUCCAAAUUGGGAGAGAAGUAGAGAAAACUUGCUGUAAAUCGUAAAAUGUGUGCGCUCAAUGGAGAACGAGUAAAAUUAGCGGCGCAUUUUUAACUGCAGCUUAUUCUCAAGUGCUACCGCGAUAACCUUGUUGGCCAUUAAACGCGCGGUCAUACCGCAUUAAGCGCGAUUUAUGUCACUUUGUGCCGGCUAAUGGGUUCUUUGAAGAACCGCUUUGAAUUUCAACGCUGACCUAUCGUAACGCGAGCAGGCAAGCGGCAUCCGCUUCGAUUUGCCUCGGUCGCCCUACGGAACGGAGGGCGAACGUCGGCCGGCGAGCUCGUCUCUCCCUUUAGCCGAUCGAUCGUAAAAUAUUUGCUGCAGCCUUCGCGUACGGUGGGAAAAUUCCUAUAAUGGAGUUUGCACGUCGCGCCAACGGUGGGUUAGAUAGCUAGAGGCUGAAGAGAGGCUGUGCGGCGACCCCUGCGUGUGUACGUUACACGCGAUAGAGAAUGUCGGUCGGGCUGAUUUAUAAGCGAACGCGUGCAACGAGCGCGCAUAAAAUUCAUACACUAAAUUAAAUACGGCCAUAAGUAUCCCAAGUACUCGCAGGUAUACCGUGAGCAUACUCGUGAAACUUUACGGAGAGCGAUUAUUUAUCUCGCGGGCUCACGCACCGUCGUGGAAGCGCGCGCGAAUAAUAUAAGCGAUUAAUCUGGCCGACCAUUGUUCUACGAGAUCUGAUUAUUUGAUUACGCGUUAAACGUAUUUCGUCGCGCGAUUAAAUCGAUCGCGCGCAUCGGAAGCGCCGGGCAGUCCGGUUGGUGUAACGCGACCGUUGCGUUUAAAUCUCGUGCUUUAUGGCCGACGAUGAUAAUCGUCUCGCGAUGAUGAAUGUAUAAAUAAAUUUAUCGUUUAUACGACAUAAAAAGUUUGCUUUCAAAGUAAAGAUCCUUUUAAUGUUGGGAGAAAGUGAUCUGAUAAUGUUCCUUCAACAUUUCAAAAAUAAAUUCGCCAUGGAUUGUCAGGUACAUCCUUUUCACGAGCGAUCCGAUAAAUGUGCAGCACGGCGAAUUUCAGGCCUGCGAAUUUGAGAAAUUUGCCAGGGUGCCAGCAUGAAAUUCCACGAAUAUCCAUCGAUAACGGACGAGACCGUCGUCGACGGCGUUUGACGUCAAUCUUGCAACGAAGAGCGACAACGAUGCGACGACGACGUCGGUGCGCUUUUCGCCGACGUGACGAGGGCCGAUUAGCGCUCGCAAAUUCCCAAACAAUGCACGAGGAAUUUACGACGCCGUCGCUCCAUCGUAAACUCCAGUGUGUUGGCUAACUACCGUGACACCCUUCCGACAAGGGCUGAUUAUGCUGCCCUGAAGCGACUGAAACGUUACAGGGCGUAAAGAAGAGCGAAGCCCCGUCGAUGGAGAUGAUCGUUCGAAACUGGCAGAGGGUCGCGCGGAAGGAGGUGCGCAUUCAUCCCCUCGUCUCUGCCUCGGAUCUUGGUGUGCCACUCCUGGAUAAGAUAAUGAAAUAGUUCGACUCCGGACGAACUCUGCAUCAGCGUGGCUCUCCUCGAUGUCACGGCAGUUCGUGCGAAAGAACCGGGCUAUGGCAGGUAGAACCGAGAGGGAUAUGCGAGCAGGAUGAAAAUACGUUACGUGCGUCUCGCUUUCAUUCUCUUCUUUCCUGUCUUUUCUUUCUUUCCUGCUCGCAUUUCCUCCCUCUUUCGUUCACGAAUGUAACCAGGUACGUCUUUACGCGCGUUUCAUGACAUACGGACAAUAGCGGGGAAACGGGGGAGUAGGCGGCGGAGAAGAGGGUAACGCGUAAGGGUGAUACAGAGGGGGCGUAGUAUUAGGGGGAAUAGAGGGAUGGUAGAAGAGACGCGGAGGAGAUGGCGGACCGCGAGUACAUUGAAGAGAGACGGACGGAAGGACAAUGCAAAGGGUGGAGGGUAGUUGCAGCAAACCUCGUCCCGUGCGUCUGGCUGACUUUAUGGUGAUGGCUGAGACGUAAAAGAGAGGAAGACGGAUGCUAGAUAAAAGAGAGAAAGAGAGAGAGAGAGAGAGAGAGAUCAUGGAUCAUGCAGACAUGGGUUUCGCCCUUCAGCUUCGCCCGCGAGACGAAAACGUGAGAUUUCUAGAAUGGCAGCAUUUGCGAAAACGAAUUUAUGUAAAAAAGAUAUUCGUCAAGCGAUACAUAUAUAUAACGGAUGUGUAAAAUCAAUGCGUAAAUAUUUAAGUUUGAUUUAUAGAGAACGACCACAUAUUCACUGUUAGAUUUUUAUCAAUUCUUAAUACGAGUCAUGAUUGACUAAUGAUCCAUUGAAAUUCAUAAAUAAAAAAUUAAUUCGGUCGGAUAAUUAAAUCCUUUAAUAUUCAAAAUAGCGCUAAAAGAUUAAUUUAUUUCCGGAUUUCCGAGACAGACAGACAGAUAGACGGGCAGACAAAGCAUUUAUUAUCGUUCUAGGACAGGCCUUCUCAGAACGUUCAAAUAAACAUACAAAGUUAAGAAUAGCGAAAAUAGAAGUACAGUAUAAUAAUGAAAGGGGCAAGUAAAUUGAGAGAUGUAUAAAUAAUUAAAAAUAGAUUAAAAAAUAACAUAAAAAUAUAAAUAACGUUAUAAUAAUUUAAGAAAAAGAAAAAAAAA